UAAUGAAGCUUGCUAGUUAAGGAGCCCCCAGGAGGUGCUGGUGUGAGAUGGUUCUAUCUUUGCAGAGUUCUCUUCCCAGAGGACUUUGCCGAUCUCCGAUCCUCUUAAAGAACCAUCAGCCCUUUGCCUCUAUAUACAAAUUCAUCUGCACAGCCAAGACCGAAGGUUCCCUUGUGCAGCACCCUCACUUCACAGGUUAGCAAACUGAGGCCUAGAGAGACACCUGUUCAGUAUCACACUGCAUGCUGAUAUGCGGUUGACCAAUCCUGACCUUCCCAUUGUGUGCAUCCCCAGAAUGGGUCCUGGGACCCCCAAGCUUGGAGGAAGGAUGCAGAACCCUGAUGUGGCACUGAGGGCUCCAGGUGAGCAGGGGCAGGAGAUGAUCUGAACCAUCAGCCCUGAGCCUGCUUUCUCUUCCAGGGAGGCUCCGCACUCUCCCCGGCCGCCAUCAUCAGCCAUGAGAGGGCUCAGCAGCAGGCAAUUGCUUUGGCAAAAGAGGUCAACUGCCCCAUGUCAUCCAGCCAAGAAGUGGUGUCCUGCCUCCGCCAGAAGCCUGCCAAUGUCCUCAAUGAUGCCCAGACCAAGCUCCUGGCCGUGAGUGGCCCUUUCCACUACUGGGGUCCUGUGAUCGAUGGCCAGUUCCUCCGUGAGCCUCCAGCCAGAGCACUGAAGAGGUCUUUAUGGUUAGAGGUCGAUCUGCUCAUUGGGAGUUCUCAGGACGACGGGCUCAUCAACAGAGCAAAGGCUGUGAAGCAAUUUGAGGAAAGUCAAGGCCGGACCAGUAGCAAAACAGCCUUUUACCAGGCGCUGCAGAAUUCCCUGGGUGGC
rnacentral:sRNA from 1 species